GAUAAGAAAAAAAGAAAAAUAUCCAUAUAUAUUACUGUAUAAGGACACUUGCAUAUAAGAUGAGAGAAAAAGCCAUUAAGGAGGUAAAGAUGGAAGAGCAGAACAAUGACUUUUGACUGAUCAUACUAGCAGCUGUUCAGUUGGAAGCACUCCAAGAUCCUUCUAUAGUGUUUACUCGCAAGUAAAUUCCAUUCAAGAAUGGUUCCUGACAAUUUCCAAUAAAAAGAUUAUUACUAGCA